GAUGAACGCUGGCGGCGUGCCUAAUACAUGCAAGUCGAGCGAACAGACGAGGAGCUUGCUCCUCUGACGUUAGCGGCGGACGGGUGAGUAACACGUGGAUAACCUACCUAUAAGACUGGGAUAACUUCGGGAAACCGGAGCUAAUACCGGAUAAUAUAUUGAACCGCAUGGUUCAAUAGUGAAAGACGGUUUUGCUGUCACUUAUAGAUGGAUCCGCGCCGCAUUAGCUAGUUGGUAAGGUAACGGCUUACCAAGGCAACGAUGCGUAGCCGACCUGAGGGGGUGAUCGGCCACACUGGAACUGAGACACGGUCCAGACUCCUACGGGAGGCAGCAGUAGGGAAUCUUCCGCAAUGGGCGAAAGCCUGACGGAGCAACGCCGCGUGAGUGAUGAAGGCCUUCGGAUCGUAAAACUCUGUUAUUAGGGAAGAACAAAUGUGUAAGUAACUAUGCACGUCUUGACGGUACCUAAUCAGAAAGCCACGGCUAACUACGUG
rnacentral:rRNA from 1 species